rnacentral:tmRNA from 1 species
GGGGCUGCAAUGGCUUCGACGGGGACGGGGAAGCUUGAGAAGCGAGCCGCGGAUGAGUCAGCCGCGCUAAAAAGGCUCAAACUUUAAAUAUAAACGCUAACGAUAGAGAAUUAGCUUACGCUGCCUAAUUGCGGCGUUGUCUCCCCUGUGAGUACCACGGCACAGGCUGAGGCAUGAUAUGAGUGGUGAACGUGAGCGGAUGAGCGUUCCGGCAUCCGCCAUGAAUCAGGAACUACCGAUGUCAUAGCUUUGGUUAUGAGGUUUUGGCAAAGGGAAUGUUUUUCAUAACCUGCGCUCGGAGAAACUCGGGUGGAUCUGUUUUCGGACACGAGUUCGAUUCUCGUCAGCUCCACCA